AGAAAAGACCCCUGCCCUAAUGGUCUUGGCAUCUAGAGCGAGAAACAACUAAGAAGAAAACAAACAAAAGGACUGCCCGUUGAAAACUCGGAUGAAAAUACAAAUUAACAAGCUUUUGGAGAAGCCGCUGGUAAUUGGCUCUGAUGCUAUGAGCUUCCAUACAUCACAUCCUUACACUAGACUCCCAGGGGGGAGAUGGCUAAGCCAAGAAAAAACACAUUUUGAUGCAGAAGGACAAACCUGGCCCCAAAGGCCUGCAUGAUUGGAACCCUCACCCCCAACUCACCCACCUUCAUUCUGGAACUCAAGAAGGAAAAAUCAGAUUCCAGCACAGUAUACUCUUGUCCUCAAAUUAGACCUUGAGAGGGGAACAGGAGGUCUUGUGUGACCUGGAGGCCACCUGCAGACCGGCCCCCGCCUGCCAGCGGCUCCCUGCACCUCCCGGCCUGGGGGCGGUCAGAGGCCACGCAGCACACAUUGUCAGGCGGGCAGGACCAGCGGAGGUGCCACUGGUUGAACGCCUCCACAGUGACCCCCACCAUCAAAGGAGGGGGGCUAGAGUUAACCCACCCUACACUUCCCACCCCUACCAAUG